CUGCUCCCUUUGUCAGCAUGUAUAUUAAAAUUAGAAUGAAAUAGAGAAGCUAUGGCCUCCAAGCAAGAAUGACAAGUAAAUUCAUGAAGUACUCCAUAUUUUU
ensembl:snRNA U6 U6 spliceosomal RNA